rnacentral:tRNA from 1 species
GGCCCGGUGGUGUAGCGGUUAACAUGCUAGCCUGUCAAGCUAGAGAUCGGGGGUUCGAAUCCCCUCCGGGUCGCCA